UGUAGGUUGGGGAAACUGCACAUUGUAUUUAUUUCUUUAGUGUGGUCCUGUAAGACUGCCUUUCUGGUCUUAAGCUUUCUAUUGUGCUAUAUAAACUACAACCUUUGACUGUUGUACUCUACAGAUUGUUUUCGAAAAGAAGUAUGAGACUUUGCUAUGUGAAUAUUUUAGUGCAUCAGGAGCAAAUGUUAGGUUUGCAUUAAAUUAAAAAGUAGAAUAGAAUAAUAGUGUCAAUAAAUUUACAAGGGCUCACGUAAUUUAUUUCCUACAUGCAUUUAGUUUUUUUUUUUUUCAAAUUAAAGGUCUUUCUAAAAGGUUGUCAGCUCACACUAACCAAAGCACAACAAAAACAUUCUGCAAAGGAUCAAAUGAGUGAUGUAACCCAACAAUAAAGACAUUAGCCGCCCUUUUUCUUGCUGCCCUACUUUAGUCAGAUAGUACUGAGGGAGACUUGAGCUAGCACUGCAGUAAUUCAAUCUCUUAUCCACAUAUAAGGAGGGGGAAAUGAAACACUUUGAACUCUGUGGGAACAGCAAACAGAUGCUAAUGAACAUGAUGUUCUAGUACAGGCCUCUGGCAACAGGAUUAAAACAAUUUCAAAAGAGGUAAGGAAGGAACAUAUCCACAUGAGUAAGGAGAAACACUGCAAAUAGGGUACCGAUGAUGAUUCAUACUGAACCUUGUUAGAAUUACAGAGAAAAUGAUUUUCCUUAAUAAACGUUUUCAGAGUGACGAGGGGAGUGGAGCUUUUUUAAAAGUACAGCAAUCUAAUUCAAUUCCAUUCCAUAAUUUGAGUUUCAGUAAAUAUGGCAGUGUUCCUGAAAGCAAUUCAACUGUUAAGACAAAGGUUAGUUUUAAUUUAGAGUGUAUUCACUGAUUGACCUUAAAGGAGUCAUAUCAUGCUUUUCAUUCUAAAAAAUAUUAGACUUUAAUGUCUCAGUAAGGUCUCUGUAAAUUUUCAUCCCAUAAAACCCUUUAGAUCGUCCACACUGCCCCUGUCAAUGUGUGGUUUUCACUCUCCAUCAGCAAACGCUGUGUUUUCUGGGCGUGUCGCAAGCGAAGCUGCUCACCACACCUCUGUGCGGAAGUGCAUACCUUUUUUGUUGUUGUUGUUGUUUUUUUUUAAAUUGGCUCCAUGGAUACGAGCCACCGCACGGUUAGGAUACAAUAGGUGGCAGUAGUGCGACAUUGAGAAUGCAAUCCACCGCAAUCCUCCACAGAAGAAGAAGACCCACUACAGAACUGCACGACAUUAGUCAGCUGGUUCGUAGCGUAGUAGAACCAUACGUCUACGAUCCCGAAUCUGACCCUGAAGCUGAAGAGGAGGCUGUUGAAGUCACCACAUUUCGGCUGAUGCAAGAUGUGUCUCAUUGUUGUUACAGGUAUCUAGUCUACAGAGGCUAGUGAGCUGGUGCUGAGGAUUCCUGGGGUGAAGAAUCUGAGUUGCCAUCUCUUCAUGCUUGGGUUGUAGAUGAAGGCAGUUUCCUGAUGGAUAAAACACUAAAACACUCAUAGUAUGAUUGAUGUAGACCACCUGUAGAAUAACUCCUUUACCGUUUGAGUAAAAAUGUGUUUUUUGUGCGUGCAACACUCAUUAAGAAUUUUUUUAACUUUAUUUAUAUAUAAUUUAUAUGCGUUUUAUUUAUGGCCGCUUCAACUUUAUAGCUUACCAUAUUAGAAAGAGAAAAACAUGUAAUUUCAAUACUAUGAUUUCCUAAAUAAAAGUGUUUUCCCUUCAGAAA